rnacentral:rRNA from 1 species
GACGAACGCUGGCGGCGUGCUUAACACAUGCAAGUCGAACGGUGAAAGCGGAGCUUGCUCCGCUGGAUCAGUGGCGAACGGGUGAGUAACACGUGGGCAACCUGCCCCUCACUUCGGGAUAACUCCGGGAAACCGGGGCUAAUACCGGAUAUGACCUCCUUGGGCAUCCUUGGAGGUGGAAAGUUUUUCGGUGAGGGAUGGGCCCGCGGCCUAUCAGCUUGUUGGCGAGGUAGUGGCUCACCAAGGCGACGACGGGUAGCCGGCCUGAGAGGGCGGCGGGCCACACUGGGACUGAGACACGGCCCAGACUCCUACGGGAGGCAGCAGUGGGGAAUAUUGCGCAAUGGGCGAAAGCCUGACGCAGCAACGCCGCGUGCGGGAUGACGGCCUUCGGGUUGUAAACCGCUUUCAGCAGGGAAGAAGCCGCAAGGUGACGGUACCUGCAGAAGAAGCACCGGCUAACUACGUGCCAGCCGCCGCCGUAA